CCUGCAGGCUCCUAUGCCAGAGAGCCCAGUCUUGGUGGGAUACCUACAACUCCCUUCCUUCUAUGGAAAGAAAAUCUAUGCUAAAAGUCUUUCCUGCCUUCUUAGGAGGGUAGUCCUUUUAGGCACAUCCAGAUCACAGCUACUUUUGAUCCUGUCAGCUACUGAACCACAUUUAACAGAGAGAGAGCUGUAUUCAUGCUCUGCCCUUUGGAUGGUUAUUCUCCACCAGACAAACACAUGGCUUGAGUAUCUGAAGCAACUGUGA
rnacentral:lncRNA from 1 species